CCUACGGGUGGCAGCAGUGGGGAAUAUUGGGCAAUGGAGGAAACUCUGACCCAGCAACGCCGCGUGAAUGAUGAAGGUCUUCGGAGUGUAAAGUUCUUUUCUAAGGGAAGAAGAAAGUGACGGUACCUCAGGAAUAAGCCUCGGCUAACUACGUGCCAGCAGCCGCGGUAAUACGUAGGAGGCGAGCGUUAUCCGGAUUGACUGGGCGUAAAGGGUGCGUAGGUGGUUUGGCAAGUCAGUAGCGUAACUCCAAGGCUCAACCUUGGAACUACAGCUGAAACUGUUGGACUUGAGUGCAGGAGAGGCAAGCGGAAUUCGUGGUGUAGCGGUGAAAUGCGUAGAUAUUAGGAGGAACACCAGUGGCGAAGGCGGCUUGCUGGACUGUAACUGACACUGAGGCACGAAAGCGUGGGGAGCAAACAGGAUUAGAUACCCUUGUAGUC
rnacentral:rRNA from 1 species